GAUGAACGCUGGCGGCGUGCCUAAUACAUGCAAGUCGAGCGAACAGAUGAUGAGCUUGCUCCUCUGACGUUAGCGGCGGACGGGUGAGUAACACGUGGAUAACCUACCUAUAAGACUGGGAUAACUUCGGGAAACCGGAGCUAAUACCGGAUAAUAUAUUGAACCGCAUUGUUCAAUAGUGAAAGACGGUUUUGCUGUCACUUAUAGAUGGAUCCGCGCCGCAUUAGCUAGUUGGUAAGGUAACGGCUUACCAAGGCAACGAUGCGUAGCCGACCUGAUAGGGUGGUCGGCCACACUGGAACUGAGACACGGUCAAGACGACUACGGGAGGCAGCAGUAGGGAAUCUUACGCAAUGGGCGAAAGCAUGACGGAGCAAGGCCGAGUGAGUGAUGAAGGCCUUCGGAUCGUAAAAAUCUGUUAUUAGGGAAGAACAAAUGUGUAAGUAACUAUGCACGUAUUGACGGUACCUAAUAAGAAAGCCACGGCUAACUACGUG
rnacentral:rRNA from 1 species